UACGGAGGAUGCGAGCGUUAUCCGGAUUUAUUGGGUUUAAAGGGUGCGCAGGCGGAAUGUCAAGUCAGCGGUAAAAUUUCGGGGCUCAACCCCGACAAGCCGUUGAAACUGGCUUGCUAGAGUGGGCGAGAAGUAUGCGGAAUGCGUGGUGUAGCGGUGAAAUGCUUAGAUAUAACUUAGAACACCGAUAGCGAAGGCAGCUUACCAGACUGAGUCUGACGCUGAUGCACGAGAGCAUGGGUAGCGAACAGG
rnacentral:rRNA from 1 species